rnacentral:rRNA from 1 species
AUUGAACGCUAGCGGGAUGCUUUACACAUGCAAGUCGAACGAGUGGCGGACGGGUGAGUAAUAUAUCGGAACGUGCACAGUAGCGGGGGAUAACUACUCGAAAGAGUGGCUAAUACCGUGUACGAUUGGAUCGGCCGGUAUCGGAUUAGCUAGUUGGUGGGGUAAAGGCUCACCAAGGCAACGAUCCGUAGCUGGUUUGAGAGGACGACCAGCCACACUGGGACUGAGACACGGCCCAGACUCCUACGGGAGGCAGAAGUGGGGAAUUUUGGACAAUGGGAGAAACCCUGAUCCAGCCAUCCCGCGUGUAUGAGAAGGCCUUCGGGUUGUAAAGUACUUUUGGCAGAGAAGCGGUAUCUGCAGAAUAAGCACCGGCUAACUACGUGCCAGCAGCCGCGGUAAUUC